ensembl:ncRNA lncRNA:CR44771 long non-coding RNA:CR44771
AUGUUGCAACACAUUGGGGCAGAAUGCAGAGGGGUGUCUAUCUGAAAGACGGUGUUGGGAACGGGGAAUAGCUGAGCAGAGCACACACGGCUGUCAAAGCCGGCGACGAGCAGGUAAAUCCAAAUCCACCCAAUUUGCCUGGCACUCGCCGCCACUCACCAUUACUAAUGCAGAUAUGCCAAGUAUCGGGGCGUCCAAAAGGCGGACAAAAGGGAGUGGAGGAGUGGAGUGGCUAGCAGGACUAGCCGGCAUAGCAGUAAUGGCAAAAACCGCCGACAAAUCUGCUGCAUUGCCCCCACGCUCACACACACAUCGACCCAACUUCAGGGUAGGAGGUGUUGUGGAAAUAGCACUGGGUAACGGAAAAGGGGGAUCCUUCCCGUCGCACCAGCGGGCAAACUAACAGAGUGCUUAUUUUAACGAAGUUACAACAACUUUUGCAAUACAAACAGUAAUGCCAGGGCAGAUUCACACUCGACACAACAGUCCUGGCAGCAAGGAUACACGGACACGGAGGCAGCUACCGGCGAAGAUACAGAUACACAUAUACAUGUACGUGCUCGCUGCUCUCGAAAGUAUGCAACAGCAUUGGAAAUUUCCGAAUUAAAUGAAAUGGGCU